rnacentral:rRNA from 1 species
GAUCCUGGCUCAGGAUGAACGCUAGCGGCAGGCCUAACACAUGCAAGUCGAGGGGCAUCACGAGGUAGCAAUACUUUGGUGGCGACCGGCGCACGGGUGCGUAACGCGUAUGUAACCUACCUAUAACAGGGGCAUAACACUGAGAAAUUGGUACUAAUUCCCCAUAAUAUUCGGAGAGGCAUCUCUCCGGGUUGAAAACUCCGGUGGUUAGUAGAUAGGACGAUGCGUUGUAUUAGCUAGUUGGUGG